rnacentral:rRNA from 1 species
UUCCCCUAKSSCCUGCGAGUGAAGCGGGAAAAGCUCAAAUUUAAAAUCUGGCAGCCUUUGGCUGUCUGAGUUGUAAUCUAGAGAAGUAUUAUCCGCGCUGGACCGUGUACAAGUCUCCUGGAAUGGAGCGUCAUAGAGGGUGAGAAUCCCGUCUUUGACACGGACUGCCAGGGCUUUGUGAUGUGCUCUCAAAGAGUCGAGUUGUUUGGGAAUGCAGCUCAAAAUGGGUGGUAAAUUCCAUCUAAAGCUAAAUAUUGGCGAGAGACCGAUAGCGAACAAGUACCGUGAGGGAAAGAUGAAAAGAACUUUGGAAAGAGAGUUAAACAGUACGUGAAAUUGCUGAAAGGGAAACGCUUGAAGUCAGUCGCGUUGGCCAGGGAUCAACCUUGCUUUUUUGCUUGGCUUACUUUCUGGUCGAUGGGUCAGCAUCAAUUUUGACUGGUGGAAAAAGUUCAAGGGAAUGUGGCAUCUUCGGAUGUGUUAUAGCCUUUGUUCGCAUACAUCGGUUGGGAUUGAGGAACUCAGCAUGCCGCAAGGCCGGGUUUUUAACCACGUACGUGCUUAGGAUGCUGGCAUAAUGGCUUUAAUCGACCCGUCUUGAAACACGGACCAAGGAGUCUAACAUGCCUGCGAGUGUUUGGGUGAAAAACCCGAGCGCGUAAUGAAAGUGAAAGUUGAGAUCCCUGUCAUGGGGAGCAUUGACGCCCGGAUCUGACCUUUUGUGACGAUUCUGCGGUAGAGCAUGUAUGUUGGGACCCGAAAGAUGGUGAACUAUGCCUGAAUAGGGUGAAGCCAGAGGAAACUCUGGUGGAGGCUCGUAGCGAUUCUGACGU